UAACAAGGUCUCCGUUGGUGAACCAGCGGAGGGAUCAUUACUGAGUUUACGCUCUACAACCCUUUGUGAACAUACCUAUAACUGUUGCUUCGGCGGGUAGGGUCUCCGCGACCCUCCCGGCCUCCCGCCUCCGGGCGGGUCGGCGCCCGCCGGAGGAUAACCAAACUCUGAUUUAACGACGUUUCUUCUGAGUGGUACAAGCAAAUAAUCAAAACUUUUAACAACGGAUCUCUUGGUUCUGGCAUCGAUGAAGAACGCAGCGAAAUGCGAUAAGUAAUGUGAAUUGCAGAAUUCAGUGAAUCAUCGAAUCUUUGAACGCACAUUGCGCCCGCCAGCAUUCUGGCGGGCAUGCCUGUUCGAGCGUCAUUUCAACCCUCAAGCUCUGCUUGGUGUUGGGGCCCUACAGCUGAUGUAGGCCCUCAAAGGUAGUGGCGGACCCUCUCGGAGCCUCCUUUGCGUAGUAACUUUACGUCUCGCACUGGGAUCCGGAGGGACUCUUGCCGUAAAACCCCCAAUUUUCCAAAGGUUGACCUCGGAUCAGUAGGAAUACCCGCUGAACUUAAGCAUAUC
rnacentral:rRNA from 1 species